GAUCUGGUUCGGGACGAACGCUGGCGGCGUGCCUAACACAUGCAAGUCGAACGGACGAGGGGAGCUUGCUCCCCAAGUUAGUGGCGGACGGGUGAGUAACACGUGAGCAACCUGCCCUUCGGAGGGGGACAACAGCGGGAAACUGCUGCUAAUACCGCAUAAUGUAUCCUGGAGGCAUCUCCGGGAUACCAAAGAUUUUAUCGCCGAAGGAUGGGCUCGCGUCUGAUUGGAUAGUUGGUGGGGCAACGGCCCACCAAGUCUGCGAUCAGUAGCCGGACUGAGAGGUUGAACGGCCACAUUGGGACUGAGAUACGGCCCAGACUCCUACGGGAGGCAGCAGUGGGGAAUAUUGGGCAAUGGGGGGCAACCCUGACCCAGCAACGCCGCGUGGAGGAAGAAGGCUUUCGGGUUGUAAACUCCUUUGACGAGGGACGAUGAUGACGGUACCUCGAAAACAAGCCACGGCUAACUACGUGCCAGCAGCCGC
rnacentral:rRNA from 1 species